UACGUAGGGGGCAAGCGUUGUCCGGAUUUAUUGGGCGUAAAGGGCGCGUAGGCGGCCUGGCAAGUGGAAGGCGAAAUCCCUCGGCUCAACCGAGGAACUGCGCUUCAUACUGCAUGGCUUGAGGGAGACAGGGGUAAGCGGAACUGAUGGUGGAGCGGUGAAAUGCGUUGAUAUCAUCAGGAACACCGGUGGCGAAAGCGGCUUACUGGGUCUCUUCUGACGCUGAGGUACGAAAGCUAGGGUAGCGAACGGG
rnacentral:rRNA from 1 species